CAUGUAGCCUUCAAAAGGAAGGAAGGAAGGAGGGAAGGACUCAAAUUAACAGAUAAAUACAGCUAAAAAUAAUUUCCUGUGUUAAGAAGUUGAAUGUUUUAAACCAGCUUGAAAAGGCUGAUCAAAAAUAUCUACAAUUGAGAAAUCCUUUCUCUUUAAAUACAACCCACUUGAAAGAGAUGUGAGGACUGAGAGACAAAGGGCUGUUCUUGUAUGAAAAUGCACAUAACAAAUAAAUGACAUAAAAGCAGAUGAAGUAACUCCGAACAGUCUCUGCUGACUCAGAUCAGUUGGAGAAGGGUUAGGGCUUUUGCAGAACUAAUGAAAGACCAGAUGGCUGGAUGGCACUGAACUUUAGAAGAUGAAUAAAGAGUAAUCGUGGAAAUGAUCAUCUGGUAAACUACAUUACAUUCCCUAGGAAAAGAACAGAAGUGAGGUUUUGGGGUUUUUUAAAGGAAAGUAAGCAUCUGACAGCAGAAACAUGAGCAAUAAACAGCAAUGAGUGAAAUUGUGAUCCCAGACAUAUGUGUUGGAGCACAUGCUGACUACAGUGGGGCAUCACAUACUUGUAACCCUGAGCAAUUUUGGAUCUUGUACCAGUACUGGUAGACAGCAGAUGCAAUACUUCAGAAAUCAUACUUGAAAAAUUAAACUCAGUUGGGUUAGAAAUGAGCACUAUCCAUGGAUUUUAAAUUGGCUGACAAGCUAUAAAAGAAGGGUAAUGAUAGAUGGUGAGACAUUGAGCUUAGGGAAAAAAAACCCAAGAAGCAAUGCUAAUGUUUAAGCACAGAACAAUUUGACUGAUGGGAACAUCUACAAGAAUCAUGUACUGCAGCUGAACAUUGACCAAGGGUGCCACAGUAGCUGUGACUGUGCUGGGAGAGGAACUCCAGAGAGUGGGCUAAGAGAAUAAUGCAAUACAGAAAUUAGAAAUAAUGGGGCAUUACAGAGGCAGAAGAGAAUAAAGGAGUGUCCUGACUAAAAACCAUUUUUUAUUUAGGAAUAGUCUCCUGUAAGAAAAGUUGCCUGAUCUAUGACUGGGUUUAAAAAUGUUUGGAUGCCAAGAAACUUUGUGGACCAAUUCCACUUAUAGGUAGCACUUACAGAAGCUGAGGCAGAGAAGCCUCAUUUCCUGCUAUGAUAUGACAGCACAUUUGCAUUUACUGGCUGCUUUUUGUAUGUAUACUAUUAAAAUUAUCUAUUUCUUGAAUUAUUAGUCCUUCAUCUAUUUACUUCCAUUAUGUUACUGCCAUGUGAGCAAGUGAAGAAAUUUAGCUUUGUGCAGUCCAUCACUUAUGUACUCCCAUGUGGCCAUCCACUGUUUUCUGUCUUCCGUCUUCCUGUGGAAAAACCAAGGCUGGCUGCAGUGCAAAGGAGCCAUCUGUAUCCACAAAGAAGCAGGAUUAAAUUCUGUAAUG